rnacentral:rRNA from 1 species
ACUCCUACGGGAGGCAGCAGUGGGGAAUUUUGGACAAUGGGCGCAAGCCUGAUCCAGCCAUGCCGCGUGCGGGAAGAAGGCCUUCGGGUUGUAAACCGCUUUUGUCAGGGAAGAAAAGCUUUGGGUUAAUACCCUAGGGUGAUGACGGUACCUGAAGAAUAAGCACCGGCUAACUACGUGCCAGCAGCCGCGGUAAUAC